CCCAUCUGCUCUCCUUGGGCUUCUUUCCUUCUCAAGGCAGAGCUGAACUCUCUGCUUUAUGUAAAAAAAUCUCCCCAUUUCAAGUCGAAUAAUACUGUGGAGGUUGGAGGCCCAAAAUUCAGAUGGCCAUCCAGGAGAAGAGAAAGAAGGCAGCCGGAUCCCACCUUCUCCUUCCUGGAUGCCUGUGGACACACCCUGGGAAUGACUGGGAUUGUUCUGGAGAGCGAGGGAGAGGGCUGGUUAGCAGAAUUUUAUUAGAGCAACUGGCUCAUGACUGUCACAUUAAAAUGAUUCAAGCUGAAUGGUAUUUAAUGAUUUAUGGGGGAAGGCCACCUGUUCCUGAGAAAGCUCGAUAUUAACCAUGGGCAGAAAUUAUGGGAUUUUUACAUGGGAAAAUGUGAAAGCUGGAUAUUACAAGGGUUGAGUUUCUGGAGAUUACAUGGGAAUGUUAGGAGAACCAAGGCAGAGGAGGAAGGGGAAGAGGAAUUAGUCAAAUAUUAUUCUUCAGAAAACCAGCACCACUGCUUUCAUUGUGUUAAAAAAAAAAAAAAAAAAAGGCGCAAAAACGAAUUGCAGAUCUAAUCUGCUCCUGAGAAAACCCCAGGUGCUGUCAUUCACAGGUGAAGCUGUCACUCACAGUGAACUCGACGGAAGGGUCUAAGGCACCUAACCAGCAGGUCAGCUUAUCUUCAUAAACUCCAGAAAUGUAUCUGAGCUUCAUGUCUAACAACUAAUGGAUUUUAUUUCAGGUAAAUAAAUUCCCACAUACAGUAGGAGGUUUAUACCAUGAAACGAUUAGCAUUUUAUUGCUAGUGCAUAUAAUGUCACAUCUGAUACAAUUUUAGUACAAGUGAAAAAAUAUGCUGUGGCUAACAUCAAAAAGCUGCAAUCACAUUUAUAUAUCAUAUGUAUUUCUUUACAAAUUGCCAGUAGUUUAAGAUAAUAGAGAAAUGUAACCUACUGACAUUCAUAUGGCUCUACUUCAAAUAUGAGUUGUUCGACUAUAAAUAUAUUCUGAAAUACAUUUGUUUUCUAAAGAAAAGUUAAAAAAAUUAUGCACGAGAAAGUAUUUUAAAAACGCUUUGCAAAAAGUUACCAAUACCACCGGGCCCAUCUGUGGAUCACAUUUAUACAUGGAAAUUUCAUCUUGCCAAUAUUUCUGAUUGGAACCUGAAACCCUGUGUGGCUUCAGGAGUUGGGAUGAGUGGCAAGAGGCUCAUGUAUUCAUUUACUCUUUUACUUCUGAUUUCAGAAACCUCAGAGUUUGUACAGCCUCCCUGGCAUAUACAGGCUUCAGAGGCAAUCACAGAAACCAAAUUCCUCAAAGCAGACUCGCAGAUUGAAAAUUGCAUUUGAUUCUGCAAAGACUCGUGUUUCACGGGAAGGCAGAGACGUGAUCUCACACAGCCCAAGAGAGGGCCAGCCCCAUUCUGGAGGAGGCCAGAGAAGGAUCCCACAGAGGGCCAAGGAGGAGAAGAGGGCAAGGGGAGGAGGGGGCUGCAGGGCAGGAGCCCCAGCAAUCCCCCUCCUCCUGCUGAGCACGUCCAGAAAUGAGAAGCAGAAGCGAGAUGAAAGCAUGCUGUUGGAGGCAGGGAGAAGCCUGGGGAGGACCGGGAGAGGGUCUGAGCACAGUCCCCAGUGAUGGUGGCUCUCACACGGAGCACACAGACCCGAUCACCGAGCUCGAAAGAGGAGGUGAAGGCAGUGGCCACAGCCUAACACUGGUCAGUAUGUGAGAGUCACCGGGGGUUGUCAUUCCAGGAGGGGCGCCCCCUGUGGGAGCUGCCCACGGUCUUCCUCCAAGCCUCAGCGUCUAGAGGAAGGACACUUUUUUAAGCUCCAUGCUUGGCCAUCACCUGACUGUGCCCAGACCCCUCAGGGAAGAACAGGAGAAGCUCGAAAAUAAACCAAAUACAGAUCUUGAAGUAAUCACUGAUUUAGAAAGGGAUAAUGAGAAUGAUGAUGAUGGUGAUGAUCAUGAGAGAACGGACUGGUGGGAAAUGCUGCUGGGAUAAUACAAUUCCUUAGAAAAACCCCAGUUAUAAAACAGCCAAUGUGCAAGGGUCCGGGGCACGGAUGAAUACAAGCUGCGAUAUUGUACCAUAUGCUAUAAAUGCCGUUAUCUACAUGCUGGGCAAAUCUCA